GUUUUCCACAUGGUUGUUGGAUAUGCUUCACCAUUAACUUUAUAUAUUUUAUAUAUAAAAUUUAUGAAAAGUUAAUAAAUGAAGCUUUCGUUUUGCAUUCAAUAAUUAUAACCAUGGCUACUAUUUCCUCUUCACAAUUAUCUUCUCAAGAAAGCAUGAGUUUGUAGAUAGCUAGCAAAGUGAUUGCAGGUUUCUCAGUUUCCCAGGUGAGGACACCGGUAAUCAAUUUCCUAGCUAUCUCUAUGCAGCUUUAUCGGCUAACCAAAUCUCAACUUUCAUGGAUGAUCAUCAACCUAGAGAUAGGUGAUGAAAUUUCACCCGCAGUUGGCAAAGCAAUUGGUGAAUCCAUAAUCUUGGUAAUAAUUUUCUCAGGAAAAGAAUGCUUGAUCUGCAUGGUGUUUGGUGAACUAGUGCAAAUUCUUGAUUGCAAAUAAAAGAAAUGAGCAGAGGGUAACAAUCUGUCAUUUUUUUACUGUAUCAGUUCAUCCAAACACCAUGUGGAUGAAGCAUAAUUUUGGGAGAAAAAUGAUUACCGAAAUCUUGGGUUCUUCAAUUCCUUGCUUUAGUUUUGUCUGCAAGAGGUUGCACGUCACUGGAGAACAUAUCAAAUUGGAGGGCUCCACUGUUACACGAUCUGGAAAUCACUGGAAAUGUUUCAGGGUUUGGAGAAUAUGCGUGUGAGCUAUGCAGACAUCACUGCAUGUAGCUUCAAAUGAAUGGUUCUCAUCAAAUAUCUUUCUCCAUGAAGCGGUACUACCAUUGAGUCAAACAUGCACAGCAUUGUUUUAUCAAGCUAAACACUCGGGAGCCUUAGAUUUUUCUUUAGAAAAUCUGGUGUGGUACUCUUUACUUAAGAUGAUUUUGAAAUUGCUCGAUAUGGAUUGUAUUAUUUUUCUCUUUGACGGAAUAGAUUGUGAUAUUUAGUUAGCAAGUUUUAUAGGUUUAUUGUCAAGUUAUGGUCAUGUGUCAAAUUAUAAGUGUAAGGAUUUGCUUCUUAUAGAACUAGCAGUGAUGCAUGGUAUGCACUGAAUAAGUUAACGAUGUAUCUGUUCCGGAGAAAUUUUUCCAAAGAAUUAUAAGUCCUGUUAUAAGAAGCGGGGAUAACAUUGCUCUAAAAUGUCCAGAGAGAGACACCAGAAGCAGAGACACAAAAUAUUUUGCUGCCUCCAGAAUACAACAGAACAAAAGCAAAAAUUAAACUCUGAUUGAAGAAAUUAGGAGCGAGCGCUAGAUAGGAUGGAGACUCAUGACUCAGCACUGUUUUGUUCAACACAAUUUUCUCUGUUGCUGCUUCCAAAGCUAUGUUUGGACUUAUUGGACCGGAGCUUCUCCGUAGAUCUUAUUUUGUUCAUGUUUCUUUAGAUAGAGGUUUUGAUGGUUUAUCUUCUGACUGGGGAUGUAGGCUGCAGAUCUGUUCAUAUUUAUAGUAACCGCUACCACCAACUUAGCGGCUGAUCUUUCAGCCAUGCUUACCUCUUUGCCAAAAUUGGAGUGCUUUAAUUAGUUGUAUUUUUUUUUUUUUAAUUAUUGUAUUAUAAUUGUUGUAUUACCUGGGUGCUUUCGCUUAUGUACAUUCCUGAAUUGAGAGAAAGUGAAAAAGUAGGGCCAUUCAGAACUUCGAUCUUGUAAUAAAUUUCAUUUUAUUUUUUCUUUAAAGGAAAGUGUUAAAUAA